rnacentral:rRNA from 1 species
GACGAACGCUGGCGGCGUGCCUAACACAUGCAAGUCGAGCGAUGAAAUCCCUUCGGGGAUGGAUUAGCGGCGGACGGGUGAGUAACACGUGGGUAACCUGCCUCAAAGUGGGGGAUAGCCUUCCGAAAGGAAGAUUAAUACCGCAUAAUAUUAGAUUUUCGCAUGAAGAACUAAUUAAAGAAGUAAUUCGCUUUGAGAUGGACCCGCGGCGCAUUAGCUAGUUGGUGAGGUAAUGGCUCACCAAGGCGACGAUGCGUAGCCGACCUGAGAGGGUGAUCGGCCACAUUGGAACUGAGACACGGUCCAGACUCCUACGGGAGGCAGCAGUGGGGAAUAUUGCACAAUGGGGGAAACCCUGAUGCAGCAACGCCGCGUGAGUGAUGAAGGUCUUCGGAUUGUAAAGCUCUGUCUUUUGGGACGAUAAUGACGGUACCAAAGGAGGAAGCCACGGCUAACUACGUGCCAGCCGCCGCGGUAACAC